UACAACACGCAAACAUAAAUGAACCUAAGGCUUGUCUAAGCUUUUCCAGAUCCAAGAAUCAUGUUUGGAUUCUAUAAAGUUAUCUUCUUAACACCUUAUAGAUCUUAGAAGAGAGGGUUUCAGAAUAGAAACUAUUGCGUAAGAAGAGAGUUAUCUAGUAGGAGCAGACUGGAGAGGGAUACUAGAUCAGAUCUAGAGAAAGAGACGCUCCAAGAAACCCAACAAACUACCUUCCUCUGCUCUAUCUUGUCUUGUAAGACGAAGACAUUAAAUCAGAAAUGUUCAAUGCUUGUAAAACAGAAGUGAUUCUAAGAAGGUGGAAGCAUUUUUGCAUUAGUGUGCCUCUUGCUUCCAAAAAUAACGGACCAAUGUUUGAAGUGAAGAUCAAGACACUAAAGUUGUUUGAUUAUGCAAAAAGAUUCCUUCUUUAGUUUAGAAUGACUGAAACAAGACAUGACAACAAAACAUAGCUAUGAACUGAGCCUAUCAUGCGUAACCUCUUACCUCGUCUAGGCUUUAACUUAUACUUGUAUGAAAAAUUGAACCAAACUAUUAUUUCAUACAACACAACCAAGACUCGUCUAUAUCUAAAGUUGUUUGAGCCCAUCAUGCGUAACCUACCCCGUCUAGUCAUUAAACUUAUGCUUGUAACACAACCAAAGCAAACUAUUAUAUUCGACAACAGAACUAAAGCUUGUAUAUGCCUUAAAAUAUCUAAAGAUCAUGUUCUAGUUAAAGAACCCUAAAAUGAAGAGCCGUUGAAUCAGAUUCCUUAUUAUUGACGAUAGAUUUCGGAACCCAUAAAGAAAAAUCAAAGCUUUACGAAAGACGCACCGUACAUGAGAAGAAACGUUGAGAUGUGACGGCGGAAGCAACUCCA
rnacentral:lncRNA from 1 species